rnacentral:rRNA from 1 species
GACGAACGCUGGCGGCGUGCUUAACACAUGCAAGUCGAACGGAAAGGCCCUGCUUGCAGGGUACUCGAGUGGCGAACGGGUGAGUAACACGUGGGUGAUCUGCCCUGCACUUCGGGAUAAGCCUGGAAAACUGGGUCUAAUACCGGAUAGGAGCCAUUUUUAGUGUGAUGGUUGGAAAGUUUUUUCGGUGUAGGAUGAGCUCGCGGCCUAUCAGCUUGUUGGUGGGGUAAUGGCCUACCAAGGCGGCGACGGGUAGCCGGCCUGAGAGGGUGGACGGCCACAUUGGGACUGAGAUACGGCCCAGACUCCUACGGGAGGCAGCAGUGGGGAAUAUUGCACAAUGGGCGCAAGCCUGAUGCAGCGACGCCGCGUGGGGGAUGACGGCCUUCGGGUUGUAAACUCCUUUCGCUAGGGACGAAGCUUUUGUGACGGUACCUAGAUAAGAAGCACCGGCUAACUACGUG